AUCCUGGCGGAACGAGAGGCUCCGUUACAGAGUUUUGCCUCUGUUUGUCUCAUAAACAGACUUAAAGUCAGACAUCUACUUUCAAGGAUCAGUAAUUUGCUAUCGAAGAGCACUGCUGGAGGCCUAUAGGAGACUGUCGCUACAAUGGAUGGAAUUAUUUGCACUUUUCACAUAAUGCAAGACUGCAGGAAAUGAUGGUUCACCACUCAUUAAAUAUAUGCAUACCUAGCUUGUUUGUGUCAUUUUUCCAAAUGCCUUAGUCAUCUUUUUAAUAAUAAUAUAUCAGUCCACUGAGCAAAUGAUUUGCUUAUUGUGAUUCUUUUGAUUGCUAAUUAUCUGUUUAUUUUUUGUUGUAUAACCACUCUGCUACGAAAGCAAAUACAUAGGCUCGUCAGUUAGUUUUUUUUUAUUUCUUCAGAAGUGGAGCAGCAUGGAAUGUGUGACAUCAAAAAUAUUCGAACAAAUAAAAAGUAUGAGUAUUUGA